UAACAGUGUCUUCACUCUCGCAUUCAUCUGCAUUGUAGUCGCCGGCGUCGGAGGCCAGUCACCUUCAUCAGCGCCUUCCAAAUCACCAUCAACCCCUGCUACCACCCCUCCAGUUUCAACGCCGGUUGCAGCACCUUCCAAACCAACCUCACCAGCUCCCAUUGCUUCUCCCAAAUCAUCUCCUCCAGCUUCAUCCCCCAAAGCCGCCACCUCACCUGCUCCGGCGACCAAACCUCCAGCAUCAUCUCCACCGGCGGCGACACC
rnacentral:lncRNA from 1 species